rnacentral:rRNA from 1 species
GAUGAACGCUGACAGAAUGCUUAACACAUGCAAGUCGAUUCGAUUUACCUUCGGGUAUUGAGGAUGGCGGACGGGUGAGUAACGCGUAAGGAACUUGCCUCUUGGUCUGGGACAACUGUUGGAAACGACAGCUAAUACCGGAUAUUAUGAGAUUCUCGCAUGGGGAAUUUAUGAAAGCUAUAUGCGCCAAGAGAGAGCCUUGCGUUCCAUUAGCUAGUUGGUGGGGUAACGGCCCACCAAGGCGACGAUGGAUAGCCGGCCUGAGAGGGUGAACGGCCACAAGGGGACUGAGACACGGCCCUUACUCCUACGGGAGGCAGCAGUGGGGAAUAUUGGACAAUGGGNNACAAGCCUGAUCCAGCAAUUCUGUGUGCACGAUGAAGGUCUUCGGAUUGUAAAGUGCUUUCAGUUGGGAAGAAGAAAGUGACGGUACCAACAGAAGAAGCGACGGCUAAAUACGUGCCAGCAGCCGCGGUAAUACGUAUGUCGCAAGCGUUAUCCGGAUUUAUUGGGCGUAAAGCGCGUCUAGGCGGAAAAAUAAGUCUGAUGUUAAAAUGCGGGGCUCAACUCCGUAUUGCGUUGNAAACUGUUUUUCUAGAGUACUGGAGAGGUGGGCGGAACUACAAGUGUAGAGGUGAAAUUCGUAGAUAUUUGUAGGAAUGCCGAUGGAGAAGUCAGCUCACUGGACAGAUACUGACGCUGAAGCNCGAAA